GUGCAGCAGCCGCGGUAAUACGUAGGGUGCAGGCGUUAAUCGGAAUUACUGGGCGUAAAGCGUGCGCAGGCGGCUCCUUAAGUCAGAUGUGAAAGCCCCGGGCUUAACCUGGGAACUGCGUUUGAAACUGGGGAGCUGGAGUGUAGAAGAGGGGGGUGGAAUUCCAGGUGUAGCAGUGAAAUGCGUAGAUAUCUGCAGGAACACCAGUGGCGAAAGCGGCGCGCUGGACCGCAACUGACGCUGAGAGACGAAAGCUAGGGGAGCAAACAGGAUUAGAUACCCUGGUAGUCCUAGCCCUAAACCAUCAGGACUUGGCGUGGGCCCCGUCCGGGGUCCGUGUCGUAGCCAACGUGAUAAGUCCUGCGCCUGGGGAGUACGGUCGCAAGGCUGAAACUCAAAUGAAUUGACGG
rnacentral:rRNA from 1 species